rnacentral:lncRNA from 1 species
CACUGCGCCGGGCCUCUGUACUCUUUUUAGUAUUGCCUUUAAUUUUUACCAGUCGGGAGCCUUUCCUAGGACCUAGCCUCCUGCCUGCCCACUUCCUAGGAUGUUGGAGCUGAGAGGGUCCUAGAGACCACCUUGUUUUCAUCCUGCCACUGGAGAGGGGGCAGGGGUUUCACUCGGCGUUGCCUAGAGGUGCUUCUGUUGAAGCCUCUGCAAUGGGGGGGGCUCUUCCCAGUUCUCCUCCUUCCACAGAUUGUUCUAGAACUGCCAAGACUGUGGGCACCCUGCUCCUUUCUCCUCAUCUUGCCAGCCCUGUAGGGAGGGGCAGGAUAGGUUGCAGUCCAUCCUUCAGCCCCUUGGGGGAUGUCUUUCUCAAAUGUACAACAGAGACGGGGCAGUCACAGCUAAUGUGCCACGCACUCGCUUGGUGCCCAGCUCUCUGCUGAAGGCAUUCCGUGUUUGUCCUCUGCCUCCAGGUCUCAUGUCCUGGAUGAGGAUGUGACCUCCGAGACAUGGACAUUAGCCCAGGCGGGGGGAGGAGCUGGAAUAGGGUGGGCGAGACUGUCGCCUCGCUGCCCCUGGAGCUGACCAUCCCCACUCCCAUCACCAUACUCAGUCCCCUGCUAACUGCCCCUUCUCUCUCUUUUCCCCAGAGACAAGAGGAGCAGCAGCGGCACCGCCCCUCACCCUGGAGGGUCCUGUACAAUCUCAUCAUGGGACUCCUGCCCUUACCCAGGGGCCACAGAGCCCCCGAGAUGGAGCCCAAUUAGGUGCCUGCACCCGCCCGGUGGACGUCAGGGACUCGGGGGGCAGGCCCCUCCCACCUCCUGACACCCUGGCCAGCGCGGGGGACUUUCUCUGCACCAUGUAGCAUACUGGACUCCCAGCCCUGCCUGUCCCGGGGGCGGGCCGGGGCAGCCACUCCAGCCCCAGCCCAGCCUGGGGUGCACUGACGGAGAUGCGGACUCCUGGGUCCCUGGCCAAGAAGCCAGGAGAGGGACGGCUGAUGGACUCAGCAUCGGAAGGUGGCGGUGACCGAGGGGGUGGGGACUGAGCCGCCCGCCUCUGCCGCCCACCACCAUCUCAGGAAAGGCUGUUGUGCUGGUGCCCGUUCCAGCUGCAGGGGUGACACUGGGAGGGGGGGGCUCUCCUCUCGGUGCUCCUUCACUCUGGGCCUGGCCUCAGGCCCCUGGUGCUUCCCCCCCUCCUCCUGGGAGGGGGCCCGUGAAGAGCAAAUGAGCCAAACGUGACCACUAGCCUCCUGGAGCCAGAGAGUGGGGCUCGUUUGCCGGUUGCUCCAGCCCGGCGCCCAGCCAUCUUCCCUGAGCCAGCCGGCGGGUGGUGGGCAUGCCUGCCUCACCUUCAUCAGGGGGUGGCCAGGAGGGGCCCAGACUGUGAAUCCUGUGCUCUGCCCGUGACCGCCCCCCGCCCCAUCAAUCCCAUUGCAUAGGUUUAGAGAGAGCACGUGUGACCACUGGCAUUCAUUUGGGGGGUGGGAGAUUUUGGCUGAAGCCGCCCCAGCCUUAGUCCCCAGGGCCAAGCGCUGGGGGGAAGACGGGGAGUCAGGGAGGGGGGGAAAUCUCGGAAGAGGGAGGAGUCUGGGAGUGGGGAGGGAUGGCCCAGCCUGUAAGAUACUGUAUAUGCGCUGCUGUAGAUACCGGAAUGAAUUUUCUGUACAUGUUUGGUUAAUUUUUUUUGUACAUGAUUUUUGUAUGUUUCCUUUUCAAUAAAAUCAGAUUGGAACAGUG